rnacentral:lncRNA from 1 species
GCUGCUGUGAAAGAUGCUCUACCACUUGGGCCACAUGACCCAGUAGAUCCAGUGGUGCCUGAGGCACUAUUGUGGCAGACAGGGAUGCUAUGUGGGGCCUUUGGCAGGUGAAUCACAGCCCAGGUCUUUAGGAUUUUGUAGCAAGCCUUUGCUGUCUUCCAAGGACAACUACUCUCCUUCUGAGAGAUAGUUCUUGGUCUGCCACUGGGCCUUGGUAGAGACUAAAUGCUUGACCAUGAGCCACCAAUUACCAUGCAACUAGAGCUGCCCACUGUGAACUGGUGUUAUCUGACCCUGACUAGCAGUAGCAGAGAAUGGGGAGUGGGCACUUGUGGGUACCAUGGAGCCUGGUUUCAUUCCCAGUGCCCUACUCGUUGUGUGGCCUUGGGCAGGUCACCUUGCCUCUCUGGACUUCAUGUCCACAUUUGUACCCUGAAAGGGUCACCAGCCCACACACAGGGAUAUGGCGCGUAAAUCUCCCACGCUCCUACGAGAAAAUUACUCCCUACUCUACGGUGCCCAGGAGCUGUAUCAACCCUGACUUCUCUCUGGUAUAUGCAUGGAAGGGCCUGGGUGGAAUUUAGCUGCACUGGCGCUAGGAAACUGCGCUGCACUGAGGUAUAUGUAUCAGGGGAUGUGGGAGUGAGGAGCUCACUGUCUUUUCCCAAAGAAAAUUUAACAGAAACAGACUGGAGAAUACUGCCAAAUGCUUUAAAAAACCUUUGCCAUAAUUAGACAAGUGUACAUCUAUGAUCAAGUUGCCCAAAGUUAGGAAGCCUGUUUAGUGUAGUCAUGGCGGGGUGGGGCUCAGAAAGCAGCCUGCAGGGAGUGUGCUGGCUCCAGCCCCCUAGCCCAGCAGAGUCUGCUGGUGCAGGUCACACUGGCUCACUUGCUUCUGAGCAGUGGACUAAAAUGACCAUCAUCUCUGCUCUUCUGCUGCAAAUGGCAGCUGUAAAUGCCUUGGGCCCUGCUGCAAAUUAGGAGAAAUUCAAGUGGGAACACAGAUGGGAAAAAUGUUCACGGUGGUUUUGUAGACCAGUGCUUGUCUUUGUUGGUUAUGAGAGGUGGGAAUGAAAAGCACACACAAUGUGUGGGAGGGCAAUGUGCUUCUCUGCUGGGGUUUGCUGAACC